UUAAUUCUGGGCCCGGGUGAAGCUAGCUACCGGCUUAACACAAUGAAAGUCGAGGGAAAACGGCGCGGCAGUUUCUUCCCGCGGCUCCCGACCGGCGAUGGGUGAAGUACAACGUAUCCCACCCUGCCCCCAGGCAAAGGGAAUAAUCCCAUAGAAAAUGUGGCCUAAUACCUUUGUGGGUCGGAGGAGGGCUUCAGCUUUGAAUAAAGACUUGUCGCCUGGGGAUGGGGAUGCGCCUGAUUAGCUUGUUGGCGGGGCAACGGCCCACCAAGGCAACGAUCAGUAGGGGUUCUGAGAGGAAAGUCCCCCACAUUGGAACUGAGACACGGUCCAAACUCCUACGGGAGGCAGCAGUGAGGAAUAUUGGUCAAUGGCCGUAAGGCUGAACCAGCCAAGUAGCGUGCAGGAGGACGGCCCUAUGGGUUGUAAACUGCUUUUGUACGGGGACAAAGUGUGCGACGUGUCGCCCAUUGCGGGUACCGUACGAAUAAGGACCGGCUAAUUCCGUGCCAGCAGCCGCGGUAAUACGGAAGGUCCGGGCGUUAUCCGGAUUUAUUGGGUUUAAAGGGAGCGCAGGCCGCCUGUCAAGCGUGUUGUGAAAUGUAGGGGCCCAACCCCUGAGUUGCAGCGCGAACUGGCGGGCUUGAGUACGCACAACGCUGGUGGAACUCGCCGUGUAGCGGUGAAAUGCUUAGAUAUGGCGAAGAACUCCGAUUGCGAAGGCAGCUGGCGGGGGCGCAACUGACGCUCGUGCUCGAAAGUGCGGGUAUCGAACAGGAUUAGAUACCCUGGUAGUCCGCACGGUAAACGAUGGAUGCCCGCUAUGCGCGCUUAGUCGUGCGUGGCCAAGCGAAAGCGUUAAGCAUCCCACCUGGGGAGUACGCCGGCAACGGUGAAACUCAAAGGAAUUGACGGGGGCCCGCACAAGCGGAGGAACAUGUGGUUUAAUUCGAUGAUACGCGAGGAACCUUACCCGGGCUUGAAUUGCAGACGAACGACCAAGAAAUUGGAAGGCCCUCCGGGGCGUCUGUGAAGGUGCUGCAUGGUUGUCGUCAGCUCGUGCCGUGAGGUGUCGGCUCAAGUGCCAUAACGAGCGCAACCCCUCUCCGUAGUUGCCAUCAGGCUAUGCUGGGCACUCUGCGGACACUGCCACCGUAAGGUGCGAGGAAGGUGGGGAUGACGUCAAAUCAGCACAGCCCUUACGUCCGGGGCUACACACGUGUUACAAUGGCCGGUACAGAGCGCCGCGCGCCCGCAAGGUCGCGCCAAUCGCGAAACCCGGCCUCAGUUCGGACUGGGGUCUGCAACCCGACCCCACGAAGCUGGAUUCGCUAGUAAUCGCGCAUCAGCCAUGGCGCGGUGAAUACGUUCCCGGGCCUUGCACACACCGCCCG
rnacentral:rRNA from 1 species